rnacentral:rRNA from 1 species
AGAGUUUGAUCCUGGCUCAGGAUGAACGCUGGCGGCGUGCCUAACACAUGCAAGUCGAACGGGGUAUAUAAGCGGAAGUUUACGGAUGGAAGGUUAUAUACUUAGUGGCGGACGGGUGAGUAACGCGUGGGCAACCUGCCCCGUGCCGGGGGAUACCGCCUGGAAACAGGCGCUAAUACCGCAUAAGCGCAUACAGCCGCAUGGGUGUAUGCGGAAAGCUCCGGCGGCACGGGAUGGGCCCGCGCCCGAUUAGCCAGUUGGCGGGGUAACGGCCCACCAAAGCGACGAUCGGUAGCCGGCCUGAGAGGGCGGACGGCCACAUUGGGACUGAGACACGGCCCAAACUCCUACGGGAGGCAGCAGUGGGGAAUAUUGCACAAUGGGGGAAACCCUGAUGCAGCAACGCCGCGUGGGUGAAGGAGCGUUUCGGCGCGUAAAGCCCUGUCAGCGGGGAAGAAGAAAGACGGUACCCGACCAAGAGGCCCCGGCUAACUACGUG